UGUAGUCUCAAUGAUGAUGCAUACAUGUCAACUAUGGGUGUUGGGUCCAACAAUUCGCAUUGGUCUCAAACCAAUGACAUCCAUUUGGAAGACCAUGAAUUUGAGGUGGACGAGGAGGGUGAGGGCAUUGUCGACGCGCCGAAAGGAAGAGCGGGCAAUUACAGCACCAACGAUGACAAGUUACUAUGCAAUACUUAUUUGCAAGUGUCAAGGGAUCCAUUCAUUGGAGAUGAUCAAAGUAGAGAUGCGUAUUGGGGGCGAAUGAAAGAAUACUUUGAUGCUCACAACAUGAGUGGAAUUGACCGCUCGGAGAGAUCACUUCGGUCCCGAUGA
rnacentral:rRNA from 1 species